CCUCAGCCUGGUUCAAGUAAUCCAGGAUAGGCUGGUUUCCACCAGCACGGCCUAUUCUCGAUUACUUGUUUCAGGAGGCGG
rfam:Salmo salar isolate Sally breed double haploid chromosome ssa22, whole genome shotgun sequence.